rnacentral:rRNA from 1 species
UCCGUAGGCGGGCAAUUAAGUCAGAGGUGAAAUCCCACAGCUCAACUGUGGAACUGCCUUUGAUACUGGUUGUCUUGAGUUACAGUGAAGUAGAUAGAAUAUGUAGUGUAGCGGUGAAAUGCAUAGAUAUUACAUAGAAUACCGAUUGCGAAGGCAGUCUACUAACUAACAACUGACGCUAAUGGACGAAAGCGAGGGGAGCGAACAGGAUUAGAUACCCUGGUAGUCC